rnacentral:rRNA from 1 species
AUGCAGUCGAGGGGCAGCAUAAAUUACUUGUAAUUUGAUGGCGACCGGCGAACGGGUGCGUAACGCGUAUGCAACCUACCUUUUACUAGAGAAUAGCCAAGAGAAAUUUUGAUUAAUGCUCUAUACACUUUAAGACUCACAUGAGUCUAAAAGAAAAGCUCCGGCGGUAAAAGAUGGGCAUGCGUUCUAUUAGCUUGUAGGUGAGGUAACGGCUCACCUAAGCUUCGAUAGAUAGGGGUCCUGAGAGGGAGACCCCCCACACUGGUACUGAGACACGGACCAGACUUCUACGGAAGGCAGCAGUAAGGAAUAUUGGACAAUGGAGGCAACUCUGAUCCAGCCAUGCCGCGUGAAGGAAGAAGGCCCUAUGGGUCGUAAACUUCUUUUAUACAGGAAGAAAUCUUUCCACGUGUGGAAAGUUGACGGUACUGUAAGAAUAAGGAUCGGCUAACUCCGUGCCAGCAGCCGCGGUAAUACGGAGGAUCCAAGCGUUAUCCGGAAUUAUUGGGUUUAAAGGGUCCGCAGGCUGCUUGUUAAGUUAGAGGUGAAAUCCUACCGCUCAACGGUAGAACUGCCUUUAAAACUGGCAAACUUGAGUUAUUGUGAAGUAAUUAGAAUGUGUAGUGUAGCGGUGAAAUGCAUAGAUAUUACACAGAAUACCGAUUGCGAAAGCAGAUUACUAACAAUUAACUGACGCUGAGGGACGAAAGCGUGGGUAGCGAACAGGAUUAGAUACCCUGGUAGUCCACGCCGUAAACGAUGGUCACUAGCUGUUUGAUGUACAUUGGUACAUUGAGUGGCUAAGCGAAAGUGAUAAGUGACCCACCUGGGGAGUA